AGUGAACGCUGGCGGUAGGCCUAACACAUGCAAGUCGAACGGCAGCACAGUAAGAGCUUGCUCUUACGGGUGGCGAGUGGCGGACGGGUGAGGAAUACAUCGGAAUCUACUUUAUCGUGGGGGAUAACGUAGGGAAACUUACGCUCAUACCGCAUCCGACCUACGGGUGAAAGCAGGGGAUCUUCGGACCUUGCGCGAUUGAAUGAGCCGAUGUCGGAUUAGCUAGUUGGCGGGGUAAAGGCCCACCAAGGCGACGAUCCGUAGCUGGUCUGAGAGGAUGAUCAGCCACACUAGAACUGAGACACGGUCCAGACUCCUAGGGGAGGCAGCAGUGGGGAAUAUUGGACAAUGGGCGCAAGCUUGAUCCAGCCAUACCGCGUGAGUGAAGAAGGCCUUCGGGGUGGAAAGCCCUUUUGUUGGGAAAGAAAAGCAGCAGGUUAAUACCCCGCUGUUCUGACGGUACCCAAAGAAUAAGCACCGGCUAACUUCGUG
rnacentral:rRNA from 1 species